AUACGUAGGGUGCAAGCGUUGAUCGGAAUUACUGGGCGUAAAGCGUGCGCAGGCGGUUUUGUAAGACAGAGGUGAAAUCCCCGGGCUCAACCUGGGAACUGCCUUUGUGACUGCAAGGCUAGAGUACGGCAGAGGGGGAUGGAAUUACGCGUGUAGCAGUGAAAUGCGUAGAUAUGCGGAGGAACACCGAUGGCGAAGGCAAUCCCCUGGGCCUGGACUGACGCGCAUGCACGAAAGCGUGGGGAGCAAACAGGAUUAGAUACCCGGGUAGUCCACGCCCUAAACGGUGUCAACUGGUUGUUGGGUCUUCAUUGACUCAGUAACGAAGCUAACGCGUGAAGUUGACCGCCUGGGGAGUACGGCCGCAAGAUUGAAACUUAAAGGAAUUGACGGGG
rnacentral:rRNA from 1 species